rnacentral:pre_miRNA from 1 species
ACAACAUUCGGACCGUCAUGUCAGUCUACCCAGCAAUAUCAUCCGCUCAGUGGAAGAUCUUCCCUUUGUCGU